rnacentral:rRNA from 1 species
CCUACGGGGGUCAGCAGUGGGGAAUAUUGCACAAUGGGGGAAACCCUGAUGCAGCGACGCCGCGUGAGUGAAGAAGUAAUUCGUUAUGUAACGCUCUAUCAGCAGGGAAGAAAAUGACGGUACCUGAGUAAGAAGCCCCGGCUAACUACGUGCCAGCAGCCGCGGUAAUACGUAGGGGGCAAGCGUUAUCCGGAUUUACUGGGUGGAAAGGGAGCGUAGACGGCAGUGCAAGUCUGGAGUGAAAGGCGGGGGCUCAACCCCCGGACUGCUCUGGAAACUGUACGGCUGGAGUGCAGGAGAGGUAAGUGGAAUUCCUAGUGUAGCGGUGAAAUGCGUAGAUAUUAGGAGGAACACCAGUGGCGAAGGCGGCUUACUGGACUGUAACUGACGUUGAGGCUCGAAAGCGUGGGGAGCAAACAGGAUUAGAUACCCUGGUAGUC